UGGAACAUUUGGGAAGGAAUGUUUUCAAACAUUCUUAAUAUUGAAUUAGUAUUCACAAAUUUCACAGUCCUGUUGGGAUUUAAUUCUGGCUAUGAUUUUAUCAACAACAUUAUACUGGCUGGUAAAAGAUUUAUAUUUACUUCUAGUAUUAAAAAUAAACAUUUACAUAUAGCAGAAUUCAUGAAGAUACUACGGGAUAUUAUAAUAGUUUAAAGAAACAUAGCCAAGAAAAACAACAGGAUUGCCAAAUUUUACAAAAAAAUGGCCAAAUAGAUUAAUUUAAUACUUAGAGAACCUAUAGUAGGUCACUGUCGUGAAACGUAUAUCUCCUGUGUUGUACUGUAUUGUAAAUGCUGUUAUAUCAAUUU